rnacentral:rRNA from 1 species
UACGAAGGGUGCAAGCGUUACUCGGAAUUACUGGGCGUAAAGCGUGCGUAGGUGGUUUGUUAAGUCUGAUGUGAAAGCCCUGGGCUCAACCUGGGAAUUGCAUUGGAUACUGGCAGGCUAGAGUGCUGUAGGGGCAGGCGGAAUUCCGGGUGUAGCGGUGGAAUGCGUAGAGAUCCGGAGGAAGACCGGUGGCGAAGGCGGCCUGCUGGGCAGAUACUGACACUGAGGCGCGACAGCGUGGGGAGCAAACAGG